rnacentral:rRNA from 1 species
UACGUAGGGUGCAAGCGUUAUCCGGAAUUAUUGGGCGUAAAGAGCUCGUAGGCGGUUUGUCGCGCCUGCUGUGAAAACUGGAGGCUCAACCUCCAGCCUGCAGUGGGUACGGGCAAACUAGAGUGCGGUAGGGGAGAUUGGAAUUCCUGGUGUAGCGGUGGAAUGCGCAGAUAUCAGGAGGAACACCGGUGGCGAAGGCGGGUCUCUGGGCCGAUACUGACGCUGAGGAGCGAAAGCGUGGGGAGCGAACAGG